GUUGCAGGCUAUCGUGUGUUAACCUGUACUUCUGCCGCAGAGUUUGGAGAAAGCGGCAGCAGAUUGUGCUGCCGCAGGCUGGAGCCUGGAACCUGGAGCCCUGGAGCCUUGAAUGGUGUGUGGUGGCAAUGGAGAGAGGCAGCUGGCAGUGACAGCUGCUCCGUGCUUGGCUACAGGAAGGAAAGAAGGAGAAAGCACCUACCAUAGGCUGGAGGCUAGAGCCUGCAGGACUGCGGCUGGCCUCGCUGGCUCGCCUCCCUGGCUGGCCUCGCUGUGGUUGGUGGCAGCGACGGAUACUGCAGCUGGCCAGAGUGUAGAAAGGCAAUGGGGAGCGCAGUCCUGGUGGGCCCAGCGGUUCCUGUGGAUUGGAGCCAGGCAGUGUGAUGUUACCAGUCACCACUCCAGGUCCCAGUUCCUGGCCCGCUUGAGCCAAAAGGAGAGGCUGGACUUUGGAGGGUGGAUAUGAGUGCCUUCACUGAGACUGGCCCCUGCCACCCAGUGGCCAGGAUGACAAGGCAGAGGAGAAUGACCCUGUGGCCACCACCAUCACAGGCCUAUGCUCAGCAUGAUGUAAACUCCACUGCGGACAGAUGCAGCCAAGAAGACAGGUCACCUUCUACCAACUCCCACCAGAGGAAACUCUUCCCCAGGACCCAGUACGUUGGCCCUCUGACCCUGCACACAGCACAUGAUGCUGAGGUUCAGUGCUGAACAAGAGCUACUGAGAGCCAGAGAUUCACUUCUUCCAUGGAGCCCCACUCAUGGAUGGAGGCUCUGUCCCGGGUCCAGUGCCACUGGGAACACUGGGUCUCUGGUUUCUAGCUCUGUCCUAUGGCAGAGGUUCCACCCCACAAUAACCGAAGUGCUGAGAAGGUGGGAAGCUCCUGCCCGACCCUCCACUGAGAGCUCAGCUCCUAGGCUGAGGAAUAAAACAGCUCAACUUUGUCUACACCUGCAGAACCUUGUUUAGGAGCUCUGUCCCAGGAGAGAGGGGGCAAUGGAAUUCAGUCAUAAAAUAUGAUCCUUAAUUAGUCCUAAAAAUCCUAACUUCAGUAACAGCAGAUUGUGGACAAAUUGAAAGCCUGCCAGUGCUCUCAAAAACAGUGGAUGGUGUGGUGGAAAGCCCUUGGAAGGAGACGGGUGGAUGCAUGGGAGAUGCAGGCUACACUGCAGGGCUGCUGGCUUGCAGGAGAGAACCGAGGACAAGGGAGAGCUGGGGAAAGUUCUCUUGUGGUUGAAAUAAAUGCCAGACACUCUUCAAUGGAGCCCAUGUUUGUUUGGUUCAGUCUGUGAAGUAAUUCAAACCUCAGUGCAUGAUUGAAAAUAGUACAAUUUUCCAUCUGCAAGUGGCAGAGCUCAACAUCUGGGUCUGGUCAGGAGAGAGACAGAGAGAGCCCAGCCCAAACCACUGACACCUGGGGUUGACAGUGCUGCUUACAGAUGUGUUCCUUUGAUCUUUGAGACUGGUUUCUCUCACUUAGCAUAAUGCCUGGAGUUCAACUGUAAUGGUUUGUGAAUCGAUCAUUUGAUAUUUUUUAUUGCUGAUGGAUUCAAUUUAUAGAUGCUUCCUAGUUUUUUCACCUACUCAAAUUUUGAGACAUUUAUGUUAUUUUUCAUUUCUAACACACACACAUGUAAUAUCUUGAAUAUUUGAAUAGAGGUUUUGUGUGAAAAUAAGAUUGUAUUUCUCUGAAGCAAAAUUCAAGAGUGGGAUAUUUAGGUCAUGUGUUAAGGGCAUGUUUGAUUGCAGAAAAAACUAAAAAUUAUUUUCCCGAGUAGCUGUUUCAUUUUGCAUUCCCAUUAACAAUGUCGUAGACACUAGGAACUUGGUAUGCUCAUCAGCAUUGGUAUUACCUGUAUUUCUUCUUAAUUUCAGCCAUUCUAAAAAGUGUAUAGUGGUGUCUCAUUGUGGGCUUGAUUUGAAUUCCUUUAAUGGAAAAUCCUGUUAACAGCCUGUUUAUAUGCUUAUGUGUCAUCUGCACAUCUCAUUUGAUGAAAUGUCUGCACAAACCUUUGCCUAUUUUAUCCAUGGGUUGUUUCUUUCUUAUUUCUUUUUCACAGUUGAGUCUUGAGAGUUCUUAUUCUAAUUAAAUUGGUGGUUAUGUGAUUUGAAAAUA
ensembl:lncRNA LINC01193 long intergenic non-protein coding RNA 1193